rnacentral:rRNA from 1 species
AACGAACGCUGGCGGCAGGCUUAACACAUGCAAGUCGAGCGCCCCGCAAGGGGAGCGGCAGACGGGUGAGUAACGCGUGGGAACGUACCUUUUGGUUCGUAACAACUCCGGGAAACUGGAGCUAAUACCGGAUAAGCCCUAACGGGGAAAGAUUUAUCGCCGAAAGAUCGGCCCGCGUCUGAUUAGCUAGUUGGUGAGGUAACGGCUCACCAAGGCGACGAUCAGUAGCUGGUCUGAGAGGAUGAUCAGCCACACUGGGACUGGGACACGGCCCAGACUCCUACGGGAGGCAGCAGUGGGGAAUAUUGGACAAUGGGCGCAAGCCUGAUCCAGCCAUGCCGCGUGAGUGAUGAAGGCCUUAGGGUUGUAAAGCUCUUUUGUCCGGGAAGAUAAUGACUGUACCGGAAGAAUAAGCCCCGGCUAACUUCGUG